rnacentral:rRNA from 1 species
GUAGGGUCCAAGCGUUAAUCGGAAUUACUGGGCGUAAAGCGUGCGCAGGCGGUUGUGCAAGACCGAUGUGAAAUCCCCGAGCUUAACUUGGGAAUUGCAUUGGUGACUGCACGGCUAGAGUGUGUCAGAGGGGGGUAGAAUUCCACGUGUAGCAGUGAAAUGCGUAGAGAUGUGGAGGAAUACCGAUGGCGAAGGCAGCCCCCUGGGAUAACACUGACGCUCAUGCACGAAAGCGUGGGGAGCAAACAGGAUUAGAUACCCUGGUAGUCCACGCCCUAAACGAUGUCAACUAGUUGUUGGGGAUUCAUUUCCUUAGUAACGUAGCUAACGCGUGAAGUUGACCGCCUGGGGAGUACGGUCGCAAGAUU